CAAUUGAACGCUGGCGGCAUGCCUAACACAUGCAAGUCGAACGGCAGCACAGAGGAGCUUGCUCCUUGGGUGGCGAGUGGCGGACGGGUGAGUAAAGCAUCGGGACCUACCCAGACGUGGGGGAUAACCUCGGGAAACCGGGACUAAUACCGCAUACGUCCUACGGGAGAAAGCGGGGGACCUUCGGGCCUCGCGCGGUUGGACGGACCGAUGUGCGAUUAGCUAGUUGGUAGGGUAAUGGCCUACCAAGGCGACGAUCGCUAGCUGGUCUGAGAGGAUGAUCAGCCACACUGGGACUGAGACACGGCCCAGACUCCUACGGGAGGCAGCAGUGGGGAAUAUUGGACAAUGGGCGCAAGCCUGAUCCAGCAAUGCCGCGUGUGUGAAGAAGGCCUUCGGGUUGUAAAGCACUUUUAUCAGGAACGAAAUACCACGGGUUAAUAACCUAUGGGGCUGACGGUACCUGAG
rnacentral:rRNA from 1 species